rnacentral:tRNA from 75 species
CGCGGGGUGGAGCAGCUCGGUAGCUCGCUGGGCUCAUAACCCAGAGGUCGCAGGUUCGAAUCCUGUCCCCGCUAC